rnacentral:rRNA from 1 species
GAUGAACGCUGGCGGCGUGCCUAAUACAUGCAAGUCGAGCGAAUAGAGGAGGAUCUUUGUCCUUUUACGUUAGGGGGCGACGGGUGGGGAACACGGUGAAAACCCACCUUUAAGACUGGGGAUACUAUGGGAAAACGGAUGCUAUAACCGAAUAUAUAUUAGAGCCCCAUGACACAUAGUUAAAAGGGGCUUUGGCGUCACUUAUAGAUGGAUCCGCGCUGCAUUAGUUAGUUGGUAGGGUAAAGGCUUACCAAGGCAACGAUGCCUAGCCGACUGAGAGGCUGAUCGGCCACAAUGGAACUGAGACACGGUCCAGACUCCUACGGGAGGCAGCAGUAGGGAAUCUUCCGCAAUGGGCGAAAGCCUGACGGAGCAACGCCGCGUGAGUGAUGAAGGUCUUCGGAUCGUAAAACUCUGUUAUUAGGGAAGAACAAAUGUGUAAGUAAAUGAGCACGUCUUGACGGUACCAAAUCAGAAAGCCACGGCUAACUACGUG